rnacentral:rRNA from 1 species
AACCUACGGGGCGCAGCAGUGGGGAAUAUUGGGCAAUGGGCGCAAGCCUGACCCAGCAACGCCGCGUGAAGGAAGAAGGCUUUCGGGUUGUAAACUUCUUUUACCAGGGACGAAGAAAGUGACGGUACCUGGAGAAUAAGCCACGGCUAACUACGUGCCAGCAGCCGCGGUAAUACGUAGGUGGCGAGCGUUGUCCGGAUUUACUGGGUUUAAAGGGUGCGUAGGCGGAAUGCCAAGUCAGCGGUAAAAUCGCGGGGCUCAACCUCGCUCCGCCGUUGAAACUGGCGUUCUUGAGUGGGCGAGAA